rnacentral:rRNA from 1 species
AUUGAACGCUGGCGGCAGGCCUAACACAUGCAAGUCGAACGAGUGGCGGACGGGUGAGUAAUGUCUGGGACACUGCCUGAUGGAGGGGGAUAACUACUGGAAACGGUAGCUAAUACCGCAUACCAUCAGAUGUGCCCAGGGGGGAUUAGCUGGUUGGUGGGGUAACGGCGCACCAGGCCGACGAUCCCUAGCUGGUCUGAGAGGAUGACCAGCCACACGGGAACUGAGACACGGUCCAGACUCCUACGGGAGGCAGCAGUGGGGAAUAUUGCACAAUGGGCGCAAGCCUGAUGCAGCCAUGCCGCGUGUAUGAAGAAGGCCUUCGGGUUGUAAAGUUCUUUCAGCAGGGAGGCGUUACCCACAGAAGAAGCAACGGCUAACUACGUGCCAGCAGCCGCGGUAAUAC